AGGCUUAACACAUGCAAGUCGAGGGGUAACAUUGUGCUUGCACAGAUGACGACCGGCGCACGGGUGCGUAACGCGUAUAGAACCUACCUUUUACAGAGGAAUAGCCUUUAGAAAUGAAGAUUAAUGCCUCAUAGUAUUGUAGACUGGCAUCAGUUUAUAAUUAAAGAUUUAUCGGUAAAAGAUGGCUAUGCGUCCUAUUAGUUAGUUGGUAAGGUAACGGCUUACCAAGACAGCGAUAGGUAGGGGUCCUGAGAGGGAGAUCCCCCACACUGGUACUGAGACACGGACCAGACUCCUACGGGAGGCAGCAGUGAGGAAUAUUGGACAAUGGAGGAGACUCUGAUCCAGCCAUGCCGCGUGUAGGAAGAAUGCCCUAUGGGUUGUAAACUACUUUUAUACAGGAAGAAACACUGGUAUGUAUACCAGCUUGACGGUACUGUAAGAAUAAGGACCGGC
rnacentral:rRNA from 1 species